GUGAGGAAUAUUGGUCAAUGGGCGCAAGCCUGAACCAGCCAUCCCGCGUGCAGGAAGACGGCGCUAUGCGUUGUAAACUGCUUUUCCAGGGAGAGAAACUUGCGCACGUGUUGCGCAAUUGACGGUACCCUGGGAAUAAGCAUCGGCUAACUCCGUGCCAGCAGCCGCGGUAAUACGGAGGAUGCGAGCGUUAUCCGGAUUCAUUGGGUUUAAAGGGUGCGUAGGCGGACUAUUAAGUCAGUGGUGAAAUCCUGCAGCUUAACUGCAGAACUGCCAUUGAUACUGAUAGCCUUGAGUUUGGUUAAGGUAGGCGGAAUGUGUAAUGUAGCGGUGAAAUGCUUAGAUAUUACACAGAACACCAAUUGCGUAGGCAGCUUACUGAGCCGACACUGACGCUGAGGCACGAAAGCGUGGGGAUCGAACAGGAUUAGAUACCCGAGUAGUCC
rnacentral:rRNA from 1 species